rnacentral:rRNA from 1 species
AUACGGAGGGUGCAAGCGUUGUCCGGAUUUAUUGGGUUUAAAGGGUGCGCAGGCGGUGCGUUAAGUCAGUGGUGAAAUCUUCCGGCUCAACCGGGAAACUGCCAUUGAUACUGGCGCACUUGAGUACGGACGAGGUAGGCGGAAUUUAUGGUGUAGCGGUGAAAUGCAUAGAUACCAUAAAGAACACCGAUAGCGAAGGCAGCUUACCAGACCGUAACUGACGCUCAGGCACGAAAGCGUGCGGAGCAAACAGGAUUAGAAACCCCAGUAGUCC